GAUGAACGCUGGCGGUAUGCCUAACACAUGCAAGUCGUACGAGAGUUUUUAACUCUAGUGGCGGACGGGUGAGUAACACGUGAGAAUUUGCCUUUAGGAGGGGGACAACAAUUGGAAACGAAUGCUAAUACCCCAUAUGCUUUUGAGUGAAAUGGAUUUUAUCCGCCUAGAGAGAAGCUCGCGGCUGAUUAGCUUGUUGGUAAGGUAAGAGCUUACCAAGGCGACGAUCAGUAUCUGGUUUGAGAGGACGAUCAGACACACUGGAACUGAGACACGGUCCAGACUCCUACGGGAGGCAGCAGUGGGGAAUUUUCCGCAAUGGGCGAAAGCCUGACGGAGCAAUACCGCGUGAGGGAAGAAUGCCUAUGGGUUGUAAACCUCUUUUUUCAGGGAGGAAUAAAAUGACGUGUACCUGAAGAAUAAGCAUCGGCUAACUCCGUG
rnacentral:rRNA from 1 species